rnacentral:rRNA from 1 species
AGGUAACCCGUUAAGCUAGCCGCCUGGGGAGUACGACCGCAAGGUUAAAACUCAAAGGAAUUGGCGGGGAGGCACACAACCAGUGGAACAUGUGGUUUAAUUCGAAACAAACCGAAGAACCUCACCAGGGUUUGACAUGUACCUGCAAGCUCUAUGAAAGUAGAGUUCCUUCGAGGGUGGUACACAGGUGCUGCAUGGCUGUCGUCAGUUCGUUCCGUGAGGAGUGCCCUUAAGUGGGACAACGAACGCAACCCCUAUCCUAUGUUACACGUAUCAUAGGAAACUGNCCCGCCGUCGGCGGGGAGGAAGGAGGGGCAGACGUCAAGUCAGCAUGGUCCUUAUACCCUGGGCUACACACAUGUUACAAUGAGUAGUAACAACGAGCAUAGCGAACUCGCAAGGGUAAGCAAAUCUCUGAAAUCUACUCUCAGUGGGGAUUGAGGUCUGCAACUCGACCUCAUGAACGUGGAAUUGGUAGUAAUCGCGGAUCAGCUAAGCCGCGGUGAUACGUUCUUGCCUCUUGCACACACCGCCCGUCAAGCCAACAAAGUCGGGGAUAUCCGAAUUC